UUCUUUCUACCUCCUCUCUCAACUGCAUAUUCGUACCUCCAAAAGCAUAUUUUAUUUUCUUAAGAGAUAGCCUAUUUCUUCACUUAGGAUAAAAAAUUAAAGUUUUAAUUUCACAAUUAUCUAAUAUUCUUUACCCCAAAUAUCAAAUGAAGGUAAUGAAUUAUUUCUAGCAGUUUCCUCACCAAGCUCCAUAGUUAUUCUUAAAAACUACCUGAUAUGGUUUGGCUUCAUGUCCCACCCAAAUCUUAUCUAUAAUUGUAAUUCCCAUAAUCCCCAUGGUCAAGGGUGGGACCAAGUGGAAGUAAUGGGAUCAUGUGGGCACUUUCCCCCACGCUGUUCUUGUGAUAAUGAGUCUCACAAGAUCUGAUGGUUUUAUAAGUGUCUGACAUUUCCCCUGCUUGCAUUCAUUCUGUUUUGCUGCCCUGUGAAGAAGGUGCCUGCUUCUCCUUUGCCUUCCACCAUGAUUGUAAGUUUCCUGAGGCCUUCCCGGCAAUUCAGAACUGUGAGUCAUUAUACCUCUUUCCUUUAUAAAUUACCCAGUCUUAGGUAUUUCUUUAUAGCAGUGUAAGAAUGGACUAAUACACCACACUUCUAUUAUUAUGGCUUCAGGCUUGACCUGAACCCCUUUCCUUUAUCCUGCCAAUCCACAGUGGCAUGUGCGUUUUCUUUACCUUGAUAUCUCUUUUGAUUCUAUUCUCUUGUCUUCUUUUAAGACACUAUAUACUAUCCCUUUCUUCCCUAGCUACCUUUGCCAGGCAUGUAAAAUUUCCUUUCUUCCUUUUCCAUGCCCUGUGCUCAUGGUCAGCAAAACUAUCCCCAUACUUAGCCUUGACUGUUGGCUCCAUUUUGGGCAGAAUCUUAUCACUUAGGCCCUCCUCCAUACCAGGAAAAGAACUGGGUCACAAAUACAGUUGCCUUGGGGUUGCUGUUCCUGAGGAAUAUCUUUGUGGUGUUCUCUGUGUUUUCUGAAUUUGAAUGUUAGCCUGCCUUGCUAGGUUGGGAAAGUUCUCCUAGAUAAUAUCCUCAAGAGUGUUUUACAACUUGUUUUCAUUCUCCCCAUCACAUUCAUGUACUCUGAUCAAAUGUAGAUUAGGUCUUUUCACAUAAUCCCAUACUUCUUGGAGGCUUUGUUCAUUUCUUUUCACUCUUUUUUCUCUAGUCUAGCCUUCUCAUUUUAUUUCAUUGGGUUGAUCUUCAAUCUCUGAUAUCCUUCCUUCGGCUUGAUGGAUUCAACUAUUGAAACUUGUGUAUGCUUCCCAAAGUUCUGGUGCUGUAUUUUUCAGCUUCAUUAAGUUGUUUUGUUUUUCUCUAAGCUGGUUAUUCUAGUUAGCAUUUCAUCUAACCAUUUUUCAAGGCUUUUAGUGUCUUUGCAUUGGGUUAGAACAUGUUCCUUUAGCUCAGAGAAGUUUGUUAUUACCUACCUUCUGAAGCCUGCUUCUGUCAAUUCCUCAAACUCAUUGUCCAUCCUGUUUUGUUCCCUUGCUGGUGAAGAGUUGUGAUCCCUUGGAGGAGGAGAGGCAUUCUGGUCUUUGAUGAUUUCAUCCUUUUUGUGCUGGUUUCUUCCCAUGUUUGUGGGUUUAUCUACCUUUGAUCUUUAACAUUGGUGACUUUCAGAUAGGGUCUCUGAGUGGAUGUCCUUUCUGUUGAUGUUGAAGCUAUUUCUUUUUGCUUUUUCAUUUUCCUUCUAACAGUCAGGCUCCUCUGUUGCAGGACUGCUGGAGAUCCACUCCAGACCCUACUUGCCUGGGAAUCACCUGUGGGGGCUGUAGAACGGCAAGGAUUGCUACCUGUUCCUUCCUCUGGUAGCUUCAUCUCAGAAGGGUACCCGCCAGAUGUCAGCCAGAGUUCUCCUGUAAAAGGUGUCUCUUAGGAUAUAUGGGGGUCAGGGAGCCAUUUGAAGAGGCAGUCUGUCCCUUCUCAAAGGUCAAGUGCUGUGCUGGGAGCUCUGUUGCUUCCUUCAGAGCUGCUGGGCAGAGAUGUUUAAGUCUGUUGAAGUGGGACUCAAAACUGCCCCUUUUCCUGGGUGCUCUGAUUUGGGAAGGUGGGGCUUUAUUUCUAAGUCCCUGAUGGGCUGCGGCCUUUUUUCAGAGAUGACCUGCUCAGCAAGAAGGGAAUCUAGUCACAAUCUGCCUGCACAGGGCUUGCUGAGCUGCCAUGAGCUCUGCCCAGCUGCUGUGUAAACUUCCUUGUGAUUUUUUUUACACAGGUAAGGUUAGAACUGCCUCAGUAAUGGUGGAUGCCUCUCCCCCCUCCAAGCUUGACCAUCCCAGAUGGAGCUCAAACUGCUGUGCAGGCUGAAAAAAUCACAUGCCAGUGGGUCUCAGCUUGCUGGUCUUUGUGGGGAUGGGACCCGUCGAGUCACAUCACUUGGAUCCCUCCCUUCAGCCCCCUUUUUUUCGGGGGAAUGAAUGGUUCUGUCUUGCUGGUGUUCCAGGCAUUGGCUAAAACAGCUACCCAGUUCUGUGCUGGAAACCCAUGGUGCUGGUGUUUUUGGCACUGGUGAGAAUCUCCUGGUCUGCGGGCUCUAAAGACUGGGAAAAGAACAAUAUCUGAGCCAAGGAGCCUGAGCAUCCAGAAAAGUCCCCAGUGGCCUCCCUUAGAGAGGAGUGGGAGUUCUCUGGCCCUUUGCACUUCCUGGGUGAGGCAGCACCCCACCCUACCUUGGUUUGCCCUCCUAGGGCUAUACCCAUUGUCCAGCCAGCCCUAUUGAGAUGAACCUGGUACCUCAGUUGGAAAUGUGGAGGAGAUCACUCACCUUCUGCAUCACUCUCACUUGGAACUGCCCUCUGGAGCUGUUCCUAUUUGGCCAUUUUGGCAAAAGUCCCCAAGGCCUUUAAUUUAAAUUCUGGAUCUCAGGGAUCUGCGAGACUCCCCAUCACAUUCUCUCAGCUUCUGCUUGGGAUUCUUGUCUUUGGCAUUAGAGACAAUUUUUUCUCCCUAGGAAAUUUCAAAAUGCAAAUUACAAUAGAAACAACAACAGUAAAAUCAUAUAACAUCUAUUGAAAAUGAUGGUCUAAUCACUUUUAUGUGCAUUUUCCAAUUUAACACAACAACUUAAUGAGUGAGAUCGUAUCAGACUCUUCAUUUGAAAGAAGAGGAAACUGAGGAUUACAGUUGUAAAUUAAUUGCCUAAGAUCCACAACAAGCAUGUGUUGAACCUUGGAAUUGCAUCUAAUUCUGCUUGAUUACAAAGCCCAGCUCUUAAUUACUAGAAAUGUUGCCUCCUUCUUUGCUCCAUGAUUUAACAUUUCAAAGUGAUUUCUGAGAUGUACUGUUUGACUUCCUAUUAAUGCCAAAUUAGAGGUUUUUACAUUUAAAAACUUUUAUUUUUGGUAGAAUGUCACCAAGAAUGAAGGGCCAUGCAGUAAUAAUAUUUUCUAUUUUGUGCAGUGUUUUACUAUAUAGGACAUAUUUUCAGUAUUUGGCCCUCACAUGAAUUCUUUAAGGAUACCUAUUCUAAAGACGAAAAGUUUGAUUUUUGUGAAAUCGAGGAACAUGCCUAAGGUCAUGUGUGAAUGGCAAAAUUGAAACAUGGUUGUCUUUUGACAACCAUGCCAUUCUUCCUAAUGUAGCAUGGUAUGUUACUGCUUACCAGGACUAAAUGAUCCAAAGCAUCUCUGAUAUGAAAUUUCAGCUGUGUGCUAGCCCUGCUAUGUUCUGGAAUUGAUAAAAGAAUAAAGCAUAAGAAUAUGUGCACAGUUUUAUGUACACCAGAAUUCUAAUAAUGAUUUGAGGUUUUAUAUGCCAAGAAAAAGACUGGUGUCCUGUAGGACAUUCUGAAGAAUUCUUCCCUCAGUAGCCAAGACAAAGUGAACCUCUGAUGCUGAUGCCUUAUGACCACUCUACCUGCCAUAUCCUCUGUAUAUCAGAAAGCCAGUUUUCUGUAGGCUUCCUAGUGCAGUAUAUUCUGAUGGAGUAUUUGUUUCCAUCCCACCAGAUCUAUGGUAAAUUUCAUGUCAUAAAUUUUAUUUUUGUUUAAUGUUGAACUGCACUGUCAAAUAAUUUUAGUGGCAUCUUUAUUAGGGAUACAUCAGUUUUCACAACUGCUAUAGCAUGGCAAUAUAAUUUUCUGAGUAAGCCCCUUGAUUAAAGAGGGCUUUUUGGUGAUAUCACUUCAGGGUGAACAGAAAGUGUCAGCUCCUCAGUAAAAUCCAUUCAAUAACAAAUAUCACAGGCUGUACUUAUUAAUAGCUCUUGAUAUCCUUUGGUUGUGUCCCCACCCAAAUCUCAUCUUGAAUUGUAACUCCCACAAUUCUCGUGUGUCAUAGGAGAAACCCAGUGGGAGGUGAUUGAAUCAUGGAGGCAGGUUUCUUUCAUGUUCUUCUCAUGACAGUGAAUAAGUCUCAUGAGAUAUGAUGGUUUUAAAAACAGGAGUUUCCCUGCACAAACUCUCUUUCUGCUUGCCACCAUCCAUGUAAGAUGUGACUUGCUCCUCCUUGCCUUCUACCAUGUUUAUGAUGCCUCCCCAUACAUGUGGAACUGUAAGUCCAUUAAACCUCUUUUUCUUUUCAGUCUUGGGUAUGUCUUUGUCAGCAGAGUGAAGACAGACUAAUACAGUAAAUAGGUACCAGUAGAGUGGGGUGCUGCUGAAAAGAUACCUGAAAAUGUGGAAAUGACUUUGGAACUCGGUAACAGGCAGAGGUUGGAACAGUUAAAAGGGCUCAGAAGAUGAUAUGAAAAUGUGGGAAAGUUUGGAACUUCAUACAGACUUGUUGAAUGGCUUUGCCCAAAACACUGAUAGCAGUAUGGACAAUAAGGUACAGGCUGAGGUGAUCCAGCAUUGAAGACACACUGGUGAUACCUGCAAAUAAUGAAGAAGACAUACAUGAAAACUUAACACUUGAUAUUAUGUUGAUUUUCUACUCACCCACACGGGAAGUGUGACAAAAGUUUUCAGGAUUUCUAAGAAAUGUAAAAUAGGAAUAAAUUUACUAAAAACGCAGUGCAGUGGAAGGGAAACAUUUGAUGUAUCCUCCAGGUUUUCUUUUGUUUUGUUUUUGUAUGCACAUACUCAUUGUGUUACUGUUUAAAAGAGUUGGGAACUGAAUCAUGUCCAUAAUUUUUUUUGAAAUAGGAAAGACUUAAAUGCAAUGCCCCCUUUCCUGUCAUUCCACUAAAGAAAUCUGAGCCCAUUCUGCUUUUCUAGUUUGUCUUAGAGAGAGUUUGAUAAUGCCACAAGAUAAUAUAAGACAACAAAGAAAUGGGCCCAUUUGCAAAUCCCACCCAAGGUGAUCAAAGGUGUUUCAUUUUCUGUUGAUUGAUUUCUCAUCUGUUUCUAUUCUCUGUUUAAUUGGAGGAAUUGGCUGAGAGUACUUAGUGUCUAAACCUAUUAGAAUCAAUUCCAAAUUCUGUUUACCAAACUCAAAUGGGUACUCAGGCUCAUAGUCUUAAAAAACAAAAAAGCCUAGUAAGCCAUAAUUCUAACGAUGUUUCCUGGAUUAAGUAGUUUUCCUAAAAUUGUGCCAAAGUAGAGUCUCACAGACAUUUAUGACAUGGCCUAGUAGAUGCUUAUAGAGGUUUUAAUGCCUCAGUGGCCUGAAAGAAUGAGAAGACCUCUCCAAGUAGCUAAUUUACCACCUGCCUAACACCAUGUCCAUGACAGUUACACAGUCAGUUGAAAGAGAGCUAAAUUACCUCUUUGCUCACAAUCUCUGGUCAAACUGAUUGCAUCCCAGGUUGCAACAGCAUUAUAAAAAGAGAGGCUUAGAGGUUCAUAGAAUUGAAACUGUUAGUGAAAGUCAGCGUAUCUCAAAAUGACUGCUGGACUGUGUGGAUUCUGAAUAAAGAUUCUAGCAAAUUUAGAGGCUAGGAAUAAUGAGUAGAAGGCAUGUGAUGGGAAAAAGUUUGUCCUGUAGGUCUUCAUUUUCUGAUGUCGAAUGUGUACCUUGGCUGACUGGGCAACAAGGUCAAUAGAACCCAGGGGCUACUGUCUAUGGAGCCAUUGAGAAUUGAUGAGGAAAAAGCCAAUAUCUUUCCUUUCAGAGCUAUGUGAGAAGCUUUCCCCAGACUCCUUGACUUUUCACGUGGGCAGAUCAGCCAUGGCCACAGUAGAGGAGAUGUAUCAAGGUAGCAAAGCUUGUGGAUUCUGGAAUCAGAGAGCUUGGGUUCAAAUUCCAGCUGUGUGUCCUUGGAAGAGCCUGGAAGUCCUUUGGGCUACAUCAUUGUGACUGAGAAGAUAUGGGAUACCAAACUGCCCGCCCACAUAGGCUUGUGGGGUUUUACAUGAUUCAUUGGAAUAAUAAAGAGGAUGCGGCUAUGUUUAUACCUCCAGGUUGAUGACCUCCUGAAAGCAUAUAUCCCGUUAAGGAUGCAGGGGUGCCAGAAGAGGAAGGAACAGCUGUCUUGAGAGAGAUGGAGGAAGAGCCGCCUAUUUUGCUCCACUUGACUGAUGCCUAAAGGAAAGGGUGAGUCAAUUUCCCACUUCCCAUUAUAGCACUGCAUUUGCAGGUUUCCACCUUGACAGGCAGAAACAGUUCCAGCCAGUGCUAAUUUGGGUAACAUCUAAAAGGCUUGCCUGACAAGGCAGAUUCAAAUUAUGAAGCAAACCCCUCACAUACUGAGACCUUGUUAGCUAGAUUAGUAGUGGAUUGGCUUCUUGUGACAGCUUGUUUGCUAGAGGUGAGCUAUUUGCAUUUCCAAUGCAGGCAGGUUAUAUCAUCAUUUAAAGAAAAAAAAAAUAAAGAUGUCGUUUUUCUUGUUUGUCACGGAGUUCAUGUAAUAUUCCCUCUCGAUUUUCUCAUUGUUGACUUCAGAAGGAAAUAGCAGCAAGUGUGUACCUUUGAGUACGACAGCUAAUUUUGUUAUGGAUGAACAGAGUAUUGUGACAAAACAGUGGCACAGCUGUCAUAACAGCUGUCACACAUUAAUCAUGACAGUGACAAAUAGCAUAAUUACUUUAUCUGGAAUUCCUAGCAUGCACACUCAGUAUGCCCCACUGCCAAGCGAGCAUAUCACGCAUGGUUUAAUUAAAAAGACAUCAAUACAGGUUAGUUAGACAAGGGCUAGAAGACAUUGAUCCAAAAUGAAAAUAAAAUUAUUUAUAGGUUGGUGUUUAGGGACACCCAAAGACCAAUUACUUAGCCAACAUGAUAAUUUGAAACUAUUUCCCUAACUGGCCUUUCUCAAUGUGUACAUCACAUGAUGAGUUGUUGGCUGUUCUGCACCAAACUAGAAUUCCUCCAUUAAAUGUUUGAUCUCCUCUUUUUCCAGUCCCAGCAUGGGUCUCUGAGAGCCAUCUUUAUAUUCUGUUAUUUGAUUAAAGAGACUUUAUUGGUAAAUACUUGAUUAACAGUGAACAAGUUGUGGCCAACUUUUUUGUUAAUUUACCUUCCAAGGCAGAUACUCAGCAGACAGAAAAUAUUAAGCAAUAUGAUUUUUGUUUUAUAUGGAAAUUCUUCCUAAGAAUAAGGUGAAAUAAAGGCAGGUGAGACUGGGUUUGAGCCUAGAAAUGACAUUCUUUUACAUGUGCAGUGUUUUAAUAUAUGUACCUGUAUUCAUGUGCAUGUAUGUGUCACAUCAGUAUGCAUAAAUAUGCACCCAUUCCAAAUGUAUGUAUAUUUUUGCCCCCCUGGUAUUUUAAGCUCAAGAAUUCAUUGAGUUUACUGAUUGAAUUCCUGGGAGCUGGUUCUUGAAUUGCUCUGAAGCUGCCUCAAUGAAAUAUUAAUGAAUCAAUUUCCAUAGACAUGGACUCAUUAUCUUCCUGGAUGCCAUUGGAAAACACAGUCCUGCCUGCGGUGUCCUUCCACCUUCCUGUGACAUGAUUUGAUUUUUUUCUCUCUCUCUUUUAAUUAAAUAAAAAUAUUGCUAUCAGGAAAGUUUUGAUAACUUUGGAACAGACAUUUCCAUUUCUCUUGAUAGGUACCUAAAUGGAGGUAAGCCAUUUAAAAUAAAUUUAUGUACCACUUAAGUGAUAUAUUGAAAAGUAGGUCCGGAAACAAAGGAAGAGAUGGCCAGUUUAGUUCUGUGGUCUCUGCAAUGCCCUUUGGAUAUGAAAAAACUGCUCUUUCUCAGAACAACCAAUUUAUGAGAAAUGUCCAUAUUUUAGAAAGCCGAGUCAACCAUCUAAUUGUUUACAAAGUUAUCAACUUUAGAAAAUGUUACGAAACACAAACACAUUGUCACUUUAAUGUAGGACUGAUGGAAAGUAGAUGGAAUUAUUCAAGCUGUGUCUACAAAAUGCCAAAACAGCUGGUUAGAGCAUGAAAAAUUCAGUCAGUCAAACUGUGAUUAUUUGCAUACAACGCAAAUAGCUGGGUUUAGGUAUUUUGUUUUUUACUCACUGAAAUAUACUGGUUUCUAAUGCCUUACACAAGUCAAUCCAGGGGUGUUAAUAACGUGUCUUAAACUACAAUUAUACCAAGCAAAGUUUUUAGCUUCCUUCCUUUCCUUCAUUCUGUUCCAGUAAAGAUUAUUAUUGCCUGGUCUGCAUACCAUCAACACCCACUUUAUAGAAUUCUGAAAAGUCCACUGGUAAAUGGUUGCCAAAAUUGUUAGACAAAGACUAUGUUCUCAAAUUCAAUAGCUUUCAUCAUUUUCAUUUAGAACCAGGAGUAUAUCUGAAUGUCAUGUGAUCCAAAGAUAGUAUUACCAUUUCAACACAUACAUAUUAUUUGAUCUGAGAAUGAUAUUUCUAUUUCAACACAUAUUCUUUUAUGGAAAAAGUGAAAGCCCAAGCUUGGUCAAGUAAAUCUUUUAAUACUACACUAAGAAAAAGUUUUUCCAUCUUUGUUGAGAGAAAACCUGAUUUGUUAUUUGCUCGCUGUACUAACUCCAUUUCAAUCUAAAUCAUGGGGAUCCCACCUAUAAUUUGGCUACAGGUAUCUCCCGGCUAAUCUGAUAGAUACUGUGCUCCAGGUAUCAGGAAUACCUCAGAGUUGCUCCUGACUUAAAACAUUUUGAUUAAAGCUGUGAAAGAAAAACACAAGAGCAUCUGCACACAGUAUUUUUGCAUAUAAUGCCAAGGCACCCAUUAACUAUGCAGCUCAUCCAUGGAGCCCUGGAAUAAAUCCCUACUUUAGGUAUGAGCAGAGGCAGAAAUGACCCAGAACUGCUCUCAGAGGGUGGACACAAUUCUAGGUCUUUAUAGUGUCAGGGUUGGGUCCCUAUUUGAAACUACAGACAGAAUAUCAAGUUUCUUGAGAAUUAACCCAAGAAUACUUAUUCCACUGUGAGAUACUUAAGGUGUUAGUGAGGAAGAAUCCAUUUUAGAUCAACUCAUAACUGACAAGUAAGAGGAAAGUAAGAGCAGCUGUAGCCUUUUUUGGAUCAACGCUUUUGGAAGGAAUUCCCUCCCUCUCUUCACUGUCUAUCACGCUUUCUGUUUAAGGGCAUCUAUUUCUACAGUGCUUUGCUGCUUUGUAUGUGGCGUCACCAUAGUACAUCGUAAGCUCUUUGAAGGCUGAUUCUAUGUCUGAUUCUUCUUUUUGUUUCUCAUUGCACCUACGAUUGUCCCUACAUGGUGUAACUGCUGAGUAAAUAUGCACACGCGAAGUAGCAACAUGCUGGCUUUAAUAAUUAAAACAAAGGCCUGGAUUUUUCCCGAAACAUCCAGGUUGUUUCUUGAAUUUACCAUAUCAUGUGAUUGAAAUCUCUGAGAAGGUCAAAGAGCUUAUUUUUAAAACAAACAGAGGACAGUUUUAUUUCUCUUUUAUUUCCUGCUUGCUAAUAGAUGAACUGGCCUUUUUCAUAAAGACUGGAUGAUUUUUGUUGCUUCUAAUAGAGGAGCAAUAUUAAUCCACCGGCAUUUUUUUCCUAGACUUUCAUAUUUCUGACCGUCGCUGACCUUGAAGUGUAGCUUGUAUAUAUUAUACAUAACAAUAUUUUAUAAUACAAGAUUCCUGAUUGUACUGUGCCUUCUAAACUUGCUCCAUGUACCACUUAAUGAAAUCAAGUGGUAUACGUUUACCCACCUUGAAAGAAUUGGUGCAAGCCAAGCUUAUUAGCCUCCAUACCCCCAUCACUCCUUGGAUUUGUGGCCAGGUCUUUUAGUGUCUAUGCUUCAGAAUAUUUCAAUGGCACUUUCUUCCUCCAACAGUGACUAUCAGCAGGUUUUCCAUGUAAGAACUAGCAGCAGCAAUUGUGUUUAUCUCCCUGACUAAAAGGUUUUGUAUUUAUCUUCCCUGAGGUGGUGCCCAUGUGGCUGUCCUGAUACUGAGCAGCUGGACAGAUUAUACCCUGAAGCCACAUCUGCGAACACAUAGAUCAACACCAUGUUCAUUGCCUUGGUGCCCAAGAAGUUUAUCUUCUGUCAGUUAGAUUUGCUGCUUUCUUCAUGAAUUCUUAAGGCUUUCUCUCCUCCCAUAUUUCCUUUCCUUCUCCAUUUUUAUUUGAUUUCAAAGUAAAUUAGCAUAAUCUCAUCUGGAUUGUUAAUAGGCAAUUAGUUUGCUUUGGUUUCCUGCCAUUAUUAAAAAGUUUUUCCAAAAGGGCUUUUGUAGAGAGGACUGUUGGACAGUAAAGAAUAUAACGUAACUAUGUAGCAUGGAACAAAAUGACCUUAUUGGUGAGUAUGUACCUAAUAGGUCUGGUUUUAUUUGCCACACCUAAAUGCAUGGAAAAGACACUGCUUUAGACAUUGUCUCACAGAACUAAAUUUUAUUUACUGAUGUUGCAUCAGCUGUUAGAACAUAAUGUCUCAAACUUGUGUUAAAGCUUUUAAGUUUAUAAUACAUUUUUCACCGAUACUGUCGUCAGUGAGUCUCAAUAGAACCCUGUAAGGUAGGAGAGGGAGAAGUAAUGAUUUUUCAGUUUUACAGAAGAGAAUAUCAAAGUUCAAAUGGAUAAUAAAAUCACGAAGUCAGCUAUGAAACCAAGACUCAAAUCUGGGAAACCAGAUUUGCAUUUCAAUUUCUUCCCACUUACCUUCACUGCCACCUCCAAAUAAGUAUCCUUAGGAGACUGUCAUUUCGACUUUCUCAGGCGUUCUUUCACCUGUCUCAAUAUCUAAUACUGUUCUCAUUUCCAAAAUUCUAUGAUUUGCUGCCUGAAUUAUGACAAAUGAUGUAGAGGUUAAUGCAAAUUUUCUCUUCGUUUAUCUAAAUUGUAAAGUGAAGCAAAAAAAAGAAAAAAAAAAACAAGUGAGCUAGUCCUUUGGACUAUUGAUUACUUCAGUGGUUUUUCAAUACACACACACACACACACACACACAUUUGAAUUACCUAAGGAACUUUAAAAAUAAGAUGUCUGAAUCCAGCCUCCAAAGAUUCUGAUUUAAUUGCUCUAGAGUCGAUGUCCAGACAUGAGUAUUUUUUUUAAAGUUUCCCAGAUAAUUCUAAUGUGCAUUUAGUAUUGAAAACUGCUGGGAUAAUUUCUUCUCUUCACACCCCUUCUGUUUGAUUCUCUUUAAUUUUUCCUCCACCAACUUUUGAAAAAUACUUUGGUUUCUCACAUACAAUGAGAGUUCUGCAUCUUGGCCAACAUUAAUGGUGUAACUCUAAAUUUAGCAUCUAAAUAAGUGUGUGUGUGUGUGUGUGUGUGUGUGUGUGUGUGUGUGUGUGUCUGCUUUGGCUACCUUGAGAAGAAAGGGGAUAAUUAUGGAGAAGCGUGUUGUAGAAGGAGAUCAUGGGCUACAGAUAUCUGGUAGCAUACAUUUAUAAUCACUAGAAUGUAGACACCGCAGGGGCAGUGAUUUGGUCUGUUUUGGUCAUUGCUGUUUACCCAGCAUGUUAAAAAAUGCUUGGCACACAGUAGGCACUUAAUAGAUAUUCACUAGUAAAUAUUUCCCCACAUUCCCUCAACCAUGCUAACCCAGAACUAAUCGGAACCCCAUGAAGGGGAAUUCCAGUUUUGUCUCCACUUGGAACACUUGCCUCCCCAUCUCUUCCCAAACUCUAAGUCCUAUCUUCCUUUAAGACUAGCUUUAGUGAACUUUCUUUCACAAGACUUUCUGGUUCUCUUUUGAACUGUUUUAGGCAAUUAUUUAUAUUUCACUCAUCGCUGCUACUUCCCACUGCCUAUCUUGGGUAUAUUACAGUUUAUGUGGCUGUUUUGCUUUCUUCUAGACAUAACCCAUUUUAUCCUUGCACCUCUCCUAGUACACAAAGAAAUCUCUCAGUUAAUAUUUGUUUGAAUGAAUAACCAUUGCAUCUGGUAUGUGAAAUUCUUAUAUUACACAAUGAUGAGGGUUUAAAUAGCAUUUCAUAAUGUUUGAUUUUGUUUUAUGCUUUGUAUUUUUGAAAAUAGGCCUAUGUAUAUAUCUGAUUUGCUCCUCAACACAACCCUGGGAAAAGAAACAGAUGGACAUUAGUGUAGUAAAUGAAGAGAAACUAAGACAUGAAGAUGAUGUUAAGUGAUCUACUCAAGGCCUUGCCCUACCAAAGGCAGAGUGGAUAGUGUGGCUAAAUUUCCAGCUCUAUUUUUGCACACAGCUUUGCUAAGAAACAAUGAGUUUUACCCAGCAUGAGGAGAGCAAAGUGACAAUUUGCUUUUGUUAACUUCCAAAGUCCACACCUCUGCGACUCACUUAUAAAACCUAAGUCCUAUGCUUUUAGAUAGAAUACAAUUCAGUCAGCUCAGUUGUUGCUUUUUUGAUAGCUUAUACAUCAUGUUCUUCUUUCAGUGUAUUAUGACUUAAUUGUUUUAGUUUUCAUGAAACCUUCAAUUUGUUAACUUGAUCAAAAUAAUGCCAGAAAGGGAAAGGCACGUUUGUAACAAUUUGAACAGAUAAUAGCCAGGCUGUGAGAAGUACCACAUUCAAGGGAACAAGUAGAAAA